GAUGAACGCUAGCGACAGGCCUAACACAUGCAAGUCGAGGGGCAGCACAUGAGUAGCAAUACGAUGGUGGCGACCGGCGCACGGGUGAGUAUCGCGUAUGCAACCUACCUUCCACAGGGGGAUAGCCAUCCGAAAGGGAGAUUAAUACCGCAUAAAACAGGGGCCCCGCAUGGGGAUAUUUGUUAAAGAUUUAUCGGUGGGAGAUGGGCAUGCGUUCCAUUAGCUAGUUGGCGGGGUAAUGGCCCACCAAGGCAUCGAUGGAUAGGGGAACUGAGAGGUUUAUCCCCCACACUGGAACUGAGACACGGUCCAGACUCCUACGGGAGGCAGCAGUGAGGAAUAUUGGUCAAUGGGCGGGAGCCUGAACCAGCCAAGUCGCGUGAAGGAAGACGGUUCUAUGGAUUGUAAACUUCUCUUGCACUGGGGUAAAACGGGGGACGUGUCCCCCCUUGCAAGUACAGUGCGAAUAAGCAUCGGCUAACUCCGUGCCAGCAGCCGCCGUAA
rnacentral:rRNA from 1 species